rnacentral:rRNA from 1 species
GGGUAAACCUGAGAAACCCGAAAGAUCGAAUGGGGGAGAUUCAUCGUCAGCGGAGCGUGGCUCACGUGCGGCGCGCGAUGUACGAGACGGGCGCUUAACGGCGCCUCCGUCGAUUGCACGCGGCCGCCGCGUUAUGUUCGGCUCCGUCGGCGUGCACUUCUCACCAAGUAGGACGUCGCGACCCGCUGGGUGUCGGUUUACGGGCCGAGAACGUUGACUCCUCCGCGCGUCUCAACGCGCGCGGUUGCAGACGCUCGGCUGUUGACCGACCGACUGCUCGGCGGUAUAGCAGAAGGUAUCGGGCCGCAUUACGAAUGCGUUCAGACCCGUCGACAAGCCCGGCCACCGCGGGGGGGAGGGGAAAUUUUUUUUUCCCUCCCCUUCCUUCACUCUGGGUGAGCGGACGUGCGCCGUCCCCGGGGUUGGUCAGCUGUUGGUCGACGGUGCUUCUCGAACUGGCCGACAAUUGAACGAUCGUACCUGUCGGCGACGCUAUUGCUUUGGGUACUUUCAGGACCCGUCUUGAAACACGGACCAAGGAGUCUAACAUGUGCGCGAGUCAUUGGGACGUCGAAACCCAAAGGCGCAUUGAAAGAAAAGGUCGACCCAGCGUCGAUUGAGGGAGGAUGGACGGCGUACCGGCGGACGGCAACGCUCCCGGUCGCUGUCCCGCACUCCAGGGGCGUCUCGUUGUCAACGCGACAUGAGGCGCACCAAGAGCGUACACGUUGGGACCCGAAAGAUGGUGAACUAUGCCUGGUCAGGACGAAGUCAGGGGAAACCCUGAUGGAGGUCCGUAGCGAUUCUGACGUGCAAAUCGAUCGUAGGAACUGGGUAUAGGGGCGAAAGACUAAUCGAACCAUCUAGUA